rnacentral:rRNA from 1 species
CCAGACUCCUACGGGAGGCAGCAGUGGGGGAUAUUGCACAAUGGGGGGAACCCUGAUGCAGCGACGCCGCGUGGGUGAGGAAGUACCCCGGUAUGUAAAGCCCUUUCGGCAGGGAAGAAAAUGACGGUACCUGAGUAAGAAGCCCCGGCUAACUACGUGCCAGCAGCCGCGGUAAUACGUAGGGGGCAAGCGUUAUCCGGAUUUACUGGGUGUAAAGGGAGCGUAGACGGCGAUGCAAGUCUGAAGUGAAAGCCCGGGGCUCAACCCCGGGACUGCUUUGGAAACUGUAAAGCUGGAGUGCGGGAGGGGCAGGCGGAAUUCCUGGUGUAGCGGUGAAAUGCGUAGAUAUCAGGAGGAACACCGGCGGCGAAGGCGGCCUGCUGGACCGUAACUGACGUUGAGGCUCGAAAGCGUGGGGAGCAAACAGGAUUAGAUACCCCUGUAA